rnacentral:rRNA from 1 species
GAGUUUGAUCAUGGUCAGAAUCAACGCUGGCGGCGUGCUUCAGACAUGCAAGUCGAACGCGAAAGUUCCCUUCGGGGAGCGAGUAGAGUGGCGCACGGGUGAGUAACACGUAGGUAAUCCACCUUUGGAUGGGGAAUAACAACCGGAAACGGUUGCUAAUACCGCAUAAUGCAGCGGCACCUAAUGGUGACAGUUGUUAAAGCGGGGGAUCGCAAGACCCCGCGUCUAAAGAGGAGCCUGCGGCGGAUUAGCUAGUUGGUAAGGUAACGGCUUACCAAGGCGAUGAUCCGUAACCGGCCUGAGAGGGCGGUCGGUCACACUGACACUGACAUACGGGUCAGACUCCUACGGGAGGCAGCAGUCGGGAAUUUUGGGCAAUGGGCGAAAGCCUGACCCAGCAACGCCGCGUGAAGGAUGAAAUCCUUCGGGAUGUAAACUUCGCAAGAACGGGAAGAAUAAGUCGGUGCCAACACCACCGGCGAUGACGGUACCGUUUGUAAGUCCGGCUAACUCCGUGCCAGCAGCCGCGGUAAUACGGGGGGAGCAAGCGUUGUUCGGAUUUACUGGGCGUAAAGGGCGCGUAGGCGGCCACCGCAAGUCGACUGUGAAAUCUCCGGGCUUAACCCGGAAAGGUCAGCCGAUACUGCGGGGCUAGAGUGCAGAAGGGGCAACUGGAAUUCUCGGUGUAGCGGUGAAAUGCGUAGAUAUCGAGAGGAACACCUGCGGCGAAGGCGGGUUGCUGGGCUGACACUGACGCUGAGGCGCGAAAGCUAGGGGAGCGAACGGGAUUAGAUACCCCGGUAGUCCUAGCCUUAAACGAUGAAUGCUUGGUGUCUGGGGUUUUACAGUCCCCGGGUGCCGUCGCUAACGCUUUAAGCAUUCCGCCUGGGGAGUACGGUNGCAAGACUGAAACUCAAAGGAAUUGACGGGGACCCGCACAAGCGGUGGAGCAUGUGGUUUAAUUCGACGCAACGCGAAGAACCUUACCUGGGUUAGAAUGCCUUUGACAACCCUAGAGAUAGGGCCUUNUGGGUAAAACCAGACAGAGUGCAAGGUGCUGCAUGGCUGU